rnacentral:rRNA from 1 species
GGUUAAGCGACUAAGCGUACACGGUGGAUGCCCUGGCAGUCAGAGGCGAUGAAGGACGUGCUAAUCUGCGAAAAGCGUCGGUAAGGUGAUAUGAACCGUUAUAGCCGGCGAUGUCCGAAUGGGGAAACCCAGUGCAAUUCGUUGCACUAUCGUUAACUGAAUACAUAGGUUAACGAGGCGAACCGGGGGAACUGAAACAUCUAAGUACCCCGAGGAAAAGAAAUCAACCGAGAUUCCCCCAGUAGCGGCGAGCGAACGGGGAGCAGCCCAGAGUCUGAAUCAGCUUGUGUGUUAGUGGAACGGUCUGGAAAGUCCGACGGUACAGGGUGAUAGUCCCGUACACCAAAAUGCACAGGCUGUGAACUCGAAGAGUAGGGCGGGACACGUGGUAUCCUGUCUGAAUAUGGGGGGACCAUCCUCCAAGGCUAAAUACUCCUGACUGACCGAUAGUGAACCAGUACCGUGAGGGAAAGGCGAAAAGAACCCCGGCGAGGGGAGUGAAAAAGAACCUGAAACCGUGUACGUACAAGCAGUGGGAGCACCUUCGGGUGUGACUGCGUACCUUUUGUAUAAUGGGUCAGCGACUUAUAUUCUGUAGCAAGGUUAACCGUAUAGGGGAGCCGCAGGGAAACCGAGUCUUAACUGGGCGUUAAGUUGCAGGGUAUAGACCCGAAACCCGGUGAUCUAGCCAUGGGCAGGUUGAAGGUUGGGUAACACUAACUGGAGGACCGAACCGACUAAUGUUGAAAAAUUAGCGGAUGACUUGUGGCUGGGGGUGAAAGGCCAAUCAAACCGGGAGAUAGCUGGUUCUCCCCGAAAGCUAUUUAGGUAGCGCCUCGUGAACUCAUCUUCGGGGGUAGAGCACUGUUUCGGCUAGGGGGUCAUCCCGACUUACCAACCCGAUGCAAACUACGAAUACCGAAGAAUGUUAUCACGGGAGACACACGGCGGGUGCUAACGUCCGUCGUGAAGAGGGAAACAACCCAGACCGCCAGCUAAGGUCCCAAAGUCAUGGUUAAGUGGGAAACGAUGUGGGAAGGCACAGACAGCCAGGAUGUUGGCUUAGAAGCAGCCAUCAUUUAAAGAAAGCGUAAUAGCUCACUGGUCGAGUCGGCCUGCGCGGAAGAUGUAACGGGGCUAAACCAUGCACCGAAGCUGCGGCAGCGACACUAUGUGUUGUUGGGUAGGGGAGCGUUCUGUAAGCCUGCGAAGGUGUGCUGUGAGGCAUGCUGGAGGUAUCAGAAGUGCGAAUGCUGACAUAAGUAACGAUAAAGCGGGUGAAAAGCCCGCUCGCCGGAAGACCAAGGGUUCCUGUCCAACGUUAAUCGGGGCAGGGUGAGUCGACCCCUAAGGCGAGGCCGAAAGGCGUAGUCGAUGGGAAACAGGUUAAUAUUCCUGUACUUGGUGUUACUGCGAAGGGGGGACGGAGAAGGCUAUGUUAGCCGGGCGACGGUUGUCCCGGUUUAAGCAUGUAGGCUGGUUGUCCAGGCAAAUCCGGAUAAUCAAGGCUGAGGUGUGAUGACGAGGCACUACGGUGCUGAAGUAACAAAUGCCCUGCUUCCAGGAAAAGCCUCUAAGCAUCAGGUAACAUCAAAUCGUACCCCAAACCGACACAGGUGGUCAGGUAGAGAAUACCAAGGCGCUUGAGAGAACUCGGGUGAAGGAACUAGGCAAAAUGGUGCCGUAACUUCGGGAGAAGGCACGCUGGUGUGUAGGUGAAGUCCCUGCGGAUGGAGCUGAGACCAGUCGAAGAUACCAGCUGGCUGCAACUGUUUAUUAAAAACACAGCACUGUGCAAACACGAAAGUGGACGUAUACGGUGUGACGCCUGCCCGGUGCCGGAAGGUUAAUUGAUGGGGUUAUCCGUAAGGAGAAGCUCUUGAUCGAAGCCCCGGUAAACGGCGGCCGUAACUAUAACGGUCCUAAGGUAGCGAAAUUCCUUGUCGGGUAAGUUCCGACCUGCACGAAUGGCGUAAUGAUGGCCAGGCUGUCUCCACCCGAGACUCAGUGAAAUUGAACUCGCUGUGAAGAUGCAGUGUACCCGCGGCAAGACGGAAAGACCCCGUGAACCUUUACUAUAGCUUGACACUGAACAUUGAGCCUUGAUGUGUAGGAUAGGUGGGAGGCUUUGAAGCGUGGACGCCAGUCUGCGUGGAGCCAACCUUGAAAUACCACCCUUUAAUGUUUGAUGUUCUAACGUUGGCCCCUUACCGGGGUUGCGGACAGUGUCUGGUGGGUAGUUUGACUGGGGCGGUCUCCUCCCAAAGCGUAACGGAGGAGCACGAAGGUUAGCUAAUCCUGGUCGGACAUCAGGAGGUUAGUGCAAUGGCAUAAGCUAGCUUGACUGCGAGCGUGACGGCGCGAGCAGGUGCGAAAGCAGGUCAUAGUGAUCCGGUGGUUCUGAAUGGAAGGGCCAUCGCUCAACGGAUAAAAGGUACUCCGGGGAUAACAGGCUGAUACCGCCCAAGAGUUCAUAUCGACGGCGGUGUUUGGCACCUCGAUGUCGGCUCAUCACAUCCUGGGGCUGAAGUAGGUCCCAAGGGUAUGGCUGUUCGCCAUUUAAAGUGGUACGCGAGCUGGGUUUAGAACGUCGUGAGACAGUUCGGUCCCUAUCUGCCGUGGGCGCUGGAGAAUUGAGGGGGGCUGCUCCUAGUACGAGAGGACCGGAGUGGACGCAUCACUGGUGUUCGGGUUGUCAUGCCAAUGGCACUGCCCGGUAGCUAAAUGCGGAAGAGAUAAGUGCUGAAAGCAUCUAAGCACGAAACUUGCCCCGAGAUGAGUUCUCCCUGAGACUUUAAGUCUCCUGAAGGAACGUUGAAGACGACGACGUUGAUAGGCCGGGUGUGUAAGCGCAGCGAUGCGUUGAGCUAACCGGUACUAAUGAACCGUGAGGCUUAACCUU